GUCAAAGUCAAACAGACGGCAAAUCUAAAAAAUCAACUCCUAUCAAUGUAUGUUUAAUGUGCUGAUUAUUAAUCGCA